CCACUGACUGUCUCGUUAGAUUAACCCAAUAAAUUUCAUUCACUCCGCAUACUCAAUCCUAUAGAUACCUUUUUAAUUUUUCAUUCACAAAUGUAACUCGAUUUCACAAAACAAUCAAGAGUAAUCAAACCCACUUCAUUAAAAAUCCCGAUUCACCAUUACAACACUGACUUCAGCAAUGAUUGCCUCAGUCUUCCCAAAACUCUAUGAAGAAGAAAAAUCCAAUUCUUCGUCUUUUCUUCCCCGACCCGAAGCAUGAAGCUCCUCUCCAAUCCCCUUGAUCUUCAAAAACCUCCAAUGAAACCGAACUAGUAACCUUGAAAAGAGCUUGAAGCUAGCUCUUUGAUCCAAAAAAACCCCCUCCCCUCCCGAUCUGAAAAAUAAAAAAACCCCUUAAAACUUAUUCUCCCUCUAACCUUAUCCUUUGAAUUUCUUCAAUCUUCUGUCUUGGAUCCAGAAUUGGCUCCCAUCGUCAGAGCUUAGAUCCGAAAUUGGUUCCCGUCAUCAGAGCUUUCUCCUCCGUUUUUACCUUUAAGAGAUCCAUUUAUCGAAAACAACCUUCCUUGAAACGGCACAGAGAAUAGGACAACCUGAAACAGAAUCGAAACCCCGUACUCGGGUCCACAUUGAGUCGCCCGACCAAUUCAGGUCUCAUAUUGGGUAAGAUGCCCUUAGUAACCUGGAUGUUCCCGUAAUUGGAUCAAAUUGGUCCUUCGCGUCAGACUGGCUGAGGUCCGUAGUAAGACCUGGAUUUUCCCGUAAUUAGACUGCAUUGGGUUGCCCGACCAAUGCAGGUCUCAUAUUGGGUAAGAGGACCCGGAUUGGAUUCUUGAAAUUGGAUCCAAUUGGCUCUUCGAACCAAGCUCACCCAUCGUGUGAAUUGGUCCUUUCUCUUCCUGCUGACUGCCGUUAUUGGAAUCGAACGGAGCAUUUCAGUAUGCCCCGGCUGACUGUAACGGGGUGACUGAACCUGGCCACUCAGUAUUUGCACUGGAGUUGGUCGUUGCUCCCAAUAUUUGAGGUAACUGAACAUUAAUAAAAGUCCCCUUUCUUUAUAUUUUCACGGUAUACUUGUGUUACAACACGACAGCGGGUACCGAUUGGGAGACCAAACUCUUUACGGCUUUGUGGGCAUAUCACACCGCAUAUAAAGUAACUACCAACUCUAUUCCGUUUCAACUAGUUUAUGGUUAAGAAGUAAUUUUAUCCAUCGAAUUGGAGGUUCAAAGUUUACGGAUUGCCUUGGAUGAACGACUCAGUGACAAAGAGUCAUUACAUUCUUUGUUGGAAAAAUUGGAAGAAUUGGACAAAAUACGAGCUAGAAAUCUUUUCCACAUGGAAGCAAGUCAAAAACGGAGGAAGAAUUACUAUGAUAGUAAACUGCGUCCGAAGUUUUUUAUGCCCAAUGAUUUGGUAUUACUGUAUGAUAGCCAGUUUAAACAUUUUCUAAAAAAAUUUCAAGUUCGUUGGCAUGGGCCGUAUCGGGUGAUUGAAGGUUUUUCCAAUGGGUCAGUUCAAUUGGAGGAUUUCAUGGGCCAUCGCUUCAGUACUCACAUUAACGAGAAUUGAUUAUUGUUAUAUAAUACAUAAAAAUCGAGAUGGAUUUUUAUUUAUUUGAAGGAGUGACUUCAAAUAGACACAAGGUAGACCUAAGUAUGGUAUAAGUGAAUUAGGGUGUAGAGGUGGCUGAAAAGAUAGUUAGUAAUUAUUAAUGUGUCACAUAGGACGAAGGUGAGAAAUGGAUAGUAUGGAUAACAUGUUGUCAUGAUCACCGGUAGUAAGAGAAUAAGAAUAAGGCACCAAUUAGAGAUCAUUUUGUGUUGUCGUUAUUGGUUAUUUUCUGAGAUUGCUGUUUCUUGAGUUUCUAACGUUUUUGAGCAUAAUAGUUCCAGUUAAGAAUUUUAGAGAGGGAGCAUCAUGGCAAUUAAAAGUACAAAGUAAGCUACAAAUAAAAAAGACAGUGGUCAAAAUGUGAGAACUAGACGUGCAUCAAAACCACGUUCUGUGAUAAUCGUUACCAAUAUAGAGCCGAUGAAGUUGGAUAUUUUCUAGAUGCCUAAAAGAAUGAAAGACUUACGGAAUGCAUAGUUGUUCCAGUUUUUGCACCUAUUAGAUCGUCUGCUAUCAAUUAAUAUGUCAUUAGUGGAAGAAUAUAUUACGAACUAUGACCCAAAGGAUGGAUUGAGUGUGGUACAAGGGCGAAUUAUUGGGAUUGAUAGAACAAUCCUAGAAAAGGUGCUGUGUCUUCCCAUUGGAGAAAUUGUGGUAGGAGCUAAUGACUCAAGCGACUUCAAUCCAGGAAGAUAUUUCAAGGGAGGUAUGUCGGUCUUUGAGAGGAGUCAAGAUUGGUGGACUGCUGAGGUAAUUUCACCAGAACUCAUGGAAUGGUUCCAUUUUGUGGUGAGGCAAAACAACUUCCCAACGUUCUCUUUUGACUUGCAAAUAUGCACGCUGACAAGUACUUAAAACUUUAGCUCCAAAUCGAACUGCAAAUCUAUUUCCACUUGAAUCAUCUUGACCCACAGCCCAUCCAAUGGCAAUUGGAUUUGUGAUCCACAGCCCAUCCAAUAGUAUGGAGAUUCGCUAAUAUUCAAGCAGUCUAUCGGUUUUUGAUUGUUCGAAUAUAAACAAUUGUAAAAAUAUACCAUAAAUCUAUAUGGAAGUCCUUCGACUACUAGCCGAAAUCCUUUUUACCCCAAUCGGUAGGUCUCUAGAUGUUAUAGAGAAUCCUGAACAACCCAAUCUGCUAAUCUCCGAUACCGCUGUCGUAUUACGUGCUUUCCUGCUCGAGAACACGCCAGACGUCCGGCUGUAGAAGGUAGUAUGGAGAUUCACUAAUAUUCAAGCAGUCUAAUGGUUUUCGAUUGUUGGAAUAUAAACAACUGCAAGAAUACACCGUAAAUCUAUACGGAUGUCCUUCGACUGCUCGCCGAAGUCCUUUUAGCUCCAAUCGGUAGGUCUCAAGACGUUAAAUAGAACCCCGAACAACCCAAACUGCUAAUCUUCGAUACCGCUUUAUACUCACGAUCUUAUAUCCACUGUCUCGAUAGAUGAACCCAAUAAAUUUCAUUCACUCCGCAUACUCAAUCCCAUAGAUAUCCUUUUAAUUCUUCAUCACAGACGUAACUUGAUUUCACAAAACAGUCAAGAGUAAUCACACCCACUUCAUUAAAAUCCCGAUUCACCAGUACAACACUGACUUCAGCAACGAUUGCCUCAGUCUUCCCAAAAACCUAUGGAGAAAAAAAAACCUCAAUUCUCCGUCUUUUUUCCCCUUCCUGAAGUAUGAACCUAGCUCUCUGAUCCUUCUCCAAAACUUAUUCUUCCCAAAAAAAAAACUUCAUUUUCUUAACCUAUCCUCCCCUUUAAUCCUAAUUCUCUCCUCUCUCAAACCCUAGCCUCUGAAUUUCUUCAAUCUUCCGUCUUGGAUCUGGAAUUGGCUCCGCUAUCAAAGCUUUCUCUCCCGUUUUUACCUUUAAGAGAUCCUUUUACCGAAAACAACGUUCCCUGAAAUGGCACAAAGGACGGAUUAGCCUGAAAUGGAAUCGAAAAACCCAUAUUCAAGACCACAUUGAGUCGCCCGACCAAUUCAGGUCUCAUAUUGGCUAAGAUGCUCGUAGUAAGACCUGGAUGUUCCCGUAAUUGGACCGCAUUGGGUUGCUCGACCAAUUUAGGUCUCAUACUGGGUAAGAGGCCCGUAAUAGGUUUUGGAUUGGAUUCUUGAUAUUGGAUUCAAUUGGCUCUUCGAACCAGGCGCACCCGUCGUUGAAUUGGUCCUUUUCCUUUCUACUGACUCCCAUUAUUGGAAUCAAACAGAGCAUUUCAGUAUGCCUCGGCUGACUGUAACGAAGUGACUGCACCUGGCCUCCUAGUAUUUGCAUUGGAAUUGGUCGUUGCUCCCAAUAUUCGAGGUAACUGAAUAUUAAUAAAAGUCCCUUUUCUUUAUAUUUUCACGGUAUACUCGUGUUACAACAUGACAUCCACCCCCUCUGAACCUGUCCAUCCUCCGGUAUGCACCAAUUUAUCCAAUUGCUGUUUGAUUUAAAAUAUAUUCUCUACGUCUUUGUCUAGUUCAUCUUUGUCACCUUUAUUAUCCAAAUCACUUUCAUCUUCUUGCUGCGGAAUCUCUAUACCUUCAUUAAGGUCUUCCAUAUUCAUCUCCGUGUGUCUUCGUUUAAAUAUUUUUACUUGCUUCCCUGCAAUUGGUAUUUUCAAUUUUGUACCAGCUAACUCGCGUAAUGAGUAAGUCGCAUUAUCAUGAACAGUUGUUACUACAUAUGGUCGAAAUCAACGUUUUGAAAAUUUCCGCAAAGUACUAUGUUGAUUAUUCAGACUAUUGUCAUAAACAAGUACCCAGUCACCUUCCUCGAUUGCUUUAAGUCUCAAUCGAUGUUGCUUAUUGAAUCACACCUUGUUUUGUAACCUUGCUCUUUUUAACCUUCCCAAUGCUAUCAAAACAUCUUCCGAUCUUUGCUCCAAUUGUCGAAUCCUAAUAGCCAGAAGUUCUUCUCUUGUCAAUCCAUCUUCCCAUGGUAGCAUACUCUAAGUAAGUACCUUUUCUUCAAUCCACAUAAUUGAUUAUCGACCUGUCAUAAAUUCUACUAGCAUAUAUCCUGUCACCAAACUAUGUGUUGUUCGAUCAGUCCAUAAUGUAAAUAACAAAAGCCGUGGCUAGUCUUUAACUUUCCCAUUACAAGCUUUAACUAAUCCUUUCACAAUCGAUGGGUGACCGCGUUCGCUUUUUGCAUUCCCUUCCGGAUUAUAAGUAGUAGUCAGUGAUAGUUUAAUUCCACAUUUUUCAAAGAACUUACGAGCUUCUUGUGCAUUUAAUUCUCCACGAUCUGCAGUGACUUUUCCUACGCAUCCGUAGCGGCAAAUAGCAUCUUCAAGCAAAAACCUACAAAUCUCCUCUGUAGAUUUUGUCCUCAAUGCUCUUCCUUCUACUUGAUUUGAUAAAUCUUCACCAGCUAAAACAAAAUAUCUCAUCUGCCAUAAUCCAACUGGCAUAAUAACCAAAUCAACAACCCAUUUAAAAUGAAUAGCCAGAGGAUACGUAGGAUGAAGACCAUCUCGAUGUCGGAUAUUAGAAUACGAUUGACAAAUUUUACAUGAUUCUACAAAUGAGAGCACAUCUAGAUACAUAUUUUUCCACCAAUAUCGUUCCUUGAGUUUAGCAAAAGUAGCCCAGAUUCCUCUAUGCCCUGCCCAUAAACUAUCAUGAAACUCCUUCAAUAAUUUCAGUUUUUUUUCUUUUUGCCUUUCACUCGUUGUGGCAUCCCAAUUCCUUUCUUCAGUCUCUUCCAUAAGAAUCCAUCUCGAAGUAAAAAUCCAUAUGCUUUUUUUCUUAUUUGUUUGAAUUUUUCUGUAGACUAAUUCCCCUGCUUAGUCAAGGUAUUCAAGUAAUGACCAAUAUCCAAUAAUUCUCCUUCAUAAGAUUCUUCAAGAAAUAGCUUGUCUUCUUUGUUGAGAUUUGAUAUUGAAUAGAAAUUUAAUCCGACAUCAUCAAUGUCUUCAACCAUUUCGUACUCCCAUUUUCAAUUACUACUACUGCCCUAAUCAAAUAAUCCUUUUCACCUUUCAUAGCCGAAAUGACUCCACAAAGCUCUCUUUUGACUUGUGAAUAUGCACGCUGACGAAUACUUAAAACUUUAGCCCCAAAUCGAACUGCAAAUCUACUCCCAUUUGAAUCAUCUUGACCCACAGCCCAUCCAAUGGCAAUUGGACUAGCGUCCACACUAAGAAUCACUAGUCUAUUGCACUUAUAAUCAACCUUCCUCAAUAUUAGAGGUAACAUCAAUAAUUUCUUCAAUCUUUGCAUUGCCUGAUUAUGCCUUUCUUCCCAUUUAAAUCGGUAACCCUUGCGUAACAAUUCAUAUAAUGGAUCCACUAUGUGAGCAAAAUGAGGGAUCCAAAUUCAAUAAAAUACACAUGCACCCAAAAACCUGCGAACCUCUGUUAAAGAAUCACAAUCCUCUUUCAUCCUUCUAAUUGCAUCAACUUUAGUCAGAUCUGGUUUUCUUCUGUAAGAUCCACAUAAAUGUCCAACAAUUACAACCUGUCGUACUCCAAAUACGGACUUCAUACCCGAUAAUGUAAGAUGAACUUCUCCAAGCCGAGUUAAAAUCUUUUCAAAAUCUUAUAUAUGAUCAACUACAUAUUUGCGACACCCCCUCGUAUCUAAAGUUUCAUCCUUGUCUCCUUCUCUGCACCUUUUUAUAGAAACAUCAUCCAGAAAAGGCAUAGUCAUUUCCGGAAUAAAAUCUCUCAAUACCUUAUUCAUCCCAUUCAUCAUAUGCGCAACUGAGUUGGUCGCGCCUUGAGGAAGAGUGUACAUUCUAACCAAUCCAAGUGGUGUCCUCAUUGUUGUCGUAUCUCUACUUCCUUCGGCAAGUUGAAAUUGAUCAUAACCUGAAUACAAAUCACCCAUUGAACAGAUCGCCCUUCCAGUAAAUACCUCAGCAAAUUCAUCCACAAUAGGUCCAAUUCCUGCAUUCCUGAUAGUUACUACAUUCACCGAUUGCCUAUCUUGAAUAAACCGUAGUGACCCAUUUUUCUUAGGUAUCGUAAACCAUCGACUAGAAUACGGCACAAAUGAGAGUUCCAAUAUUUUCCUCUUCAUCUUUUCUUUUAAUAGUUCCACCAAUUUAGGUAAAUGUACCCUCGAUACUGGAAUCGGUCUUAGAUUCCAAGGUACAUGUGGUACAGUGAAGAUAACCAUAGGUGUUAUAAUAUUUGGAUCCACACACCCAAUUUCAUGAGAUUCGAAGGCAAACGAUCUACCUUGUUUAGCCAACAUCUUUUUGAAACAAAUAAUUUCCUCGGGCAAUAAAGAACCAUCAGAACCAAUCUUCAAUUCUUUAGAAGUCUCUUUAGUAAAUUAAUGUCCAAUACUCAUUGGAUCUCUUAAACUUGCUUCUUUUGAUGCUUCACCCAUUUGUUCUUUAGAAUCUUUUAGUAAUGGUCGGGCAACAAGCUUUAUCUUCUUAUCUGCCGUUUUAUAUUUCGUCUCUACAGUGACUUCUGGUGCUUGAAAAGAUUCAAGUAUGGUAUAAACCUCUCUCGAAUGAAUCUCAACAAUCUUAUCAUUAUCCCCUAACCCAAUAGAUGUAAUCAAUUCCAAUGAAUCUUCCAGUCCAUUUUCUUCAUAAACACCUAAAAUCCUCUCAUCAUCUUACAAUGUACCUAACUUGCGUAAUUGACCUUCAAUAUCAUAUAAUCUUUUUCUUUCUUUUCUUUUAAAAUCAUCAACUAUCUUAUACAUAAUAUUUCCAUUCUCUAAUAUACCAAUAAAACUCGCAUCAAAGGCACCUUCAUCUCGCGAGAGUACCUCCUCUUUUGUACCUCCAUAAUCUUGCUUUACAAUGGUACCUCCCCAAAAUCCUUAAAUCCUUCAACAAACUUUGGCAAUGGUUUCUCCCUCAACCUAUCUCGAUUCCGUUCAUGGUUAGGAGGUAUUGUUAAAAAUUGUAUUCUUUCCUUCCAUCUUCGCUACGUACCCUUGCAUAAGCAGAACCAUCGUCAAGUACUUUUGUUUCCAUCCGUGUUGCCAUAAUAUAAGGUUGUCCUAAACUCAACGAAUAAGACGUUGUAUCUUGAACAAAGAAAUAUUGUUCCGUCGGAACAUCCCCAAUUUGAAUUUUGACAUCUGGAUAAGCUCCAUAUAAUUCGCCCCGUGUAUUAUUAGCUGCUCGUAUUGCCCAUCCAUGUUCAAUAUCAAUUGGCCAUUUUUGCUUCUUAUAAAGAUCUUUAGACAUGAGAUUUAUUUCAGAACCAUGGUCGACUAAAGCAACUAUUGGUUCUUCUAUAUCUCCUACUUUCACCAAUACCUCAGUAGUUGCCUUGCCCAAUGCUUUCAAGUAUAAUGGCUCAAAGUUUCCAUUUCCUUAUCACUAUAAUCUUCGAAACGUACUCGUUGAUUAUACCCAUACUUUUCAUUUGUUGGUUGCUUGUAACCAAUAUCAACCUCUUCUUCAUCUUUAUAUAUUCUUGCAUCAAUAGCAUGACUCAUUCCAGUUUCGCCCAUUAAUUACCUCUUUCGCUUAAUGCUGUCAAUGAUAAUAUCAUGAAACUCCUUCUUUGCAAUUCACAAAACUUCUUUCAAUUUGAACUCCACCUUAGCGUUUAAUAUACGUUCUUCCAACACCCCUUUCAAAUUUGUUGCCGCUUCAAUGUCAGAAAGUAGCUUAUAAGCAAUUGAUUUGCCUUUAUCUUUUGUCUCCUUUGUUUUUUCUCCCAAUGAUGCUGAGGUAUCCUUUACAAGCAAUUCUUGUGAAGCUGCCUCUUGAGCCUUGUCUCCUCGAGUUUGCCUCUUAGAAGAAUUUCCUUCUCUUGUAUCAUCAAAAUUUCCUCGUUUCUUUUCUUCCAUCAAGGCUUCAUGUUGGCUCUUAGCAAUAUAUGCAUGAACUGAAAGAGACUCAACAGGAUCCUCUCAACCUGUUGCACCUCGUAUUGUAGCUGCAGUCCUCAAUAACGCUUCUUGAGGUAAUUUCCCUUCUUGCAUUAUAGAAAUGGCAGAAGCCCAAGACUCACUAGUUUCCGUACUUCCACCAAGGUCAUCAUCUACUCUAGCACCAUAACUUGCACUUUCUCGUGCUGCUGUUUCACGCUCUUUUAGGUAAUCUUGAACCAAUGCUCUCAUUCCUCUCUUGCCAAAAUUGGUUUGAAGAAGAUCCUCCCUAUCUUUCAAUGCUAUCUACCCAUCUUUCAAGCAAAUAAUUCCUUGCCAUAUCAUAUUAUUAAAUUUAUUACAAUCUUUUUUAGUGUGUGAAGGGUCAUCACACCAAAUGCAUCUUUGUACAUAUCCUUGUUUUGAAACAUUCUUCAAAUUAUUUAUAGAAGUAUUCUCUUCAAGUCUUGUCAAUUUGAUUUGAAGAUCUCGCAUUCCUCGUAUAAUUUCUUCCAUUUCCAUUUUUGCUUUCUUUGAUAAGGAUGUCGAAGGUUAAACUAUAGGCAUUGUUGGUGGUACUGUACGUACUGGAGCUUUGGGUGCUUGUACUAUUUUCGGAAUAUUACUCCUAUCCUUCCUCCUUUCUCUUUUUGUAAGCAACCCCACCGCAUCUUCAAUGUUCUUCCACUUCAUUGUCAAUCCUUCAUCUUCUUCUUUGUCUUCAAGAAGGAGUUCUAAUUUCUCUUGCAAUUCUCUAUUAGCAGCUUGAAGAAAUAGAUCAACUUUGUUCGACUCCAAUGUCAAUUUUUCUACCUUUCUCAAUUGAGAGUACUGCCUCUCAAAUUCCCUUAGUAGCUCUAUUGCUUGUAAAUUCUUAUUGGGCCGUUCAAUCCAUUCCAGAAACAGCUUUUUAGUAAUGCGAUCAGCAUCUUCCAAGAAAUAUUGGUCUUUCAAUGCAUGUAAAAAAACCUCCCAUGAAUUCCCAUAACGAUCCGUAAUCGAUGUAAUGUGGUCUCUUAUUUCGGGUAUUGUGGCAAGUCCAAAUAAUUCAACCAUUUUCUUCUGAGAAACCCGAUUUAAUUCCAUUUCACGAACAUAACAUCUUAAAUACCUUGAAAUAUUCCUCCCAUCAAAUUGAUCAAUUUUAUUGACCACUGCUUGCAAUGCUUUGGUUGCCAAAGCUUUCUUUCGAUCAUUACUUUGUUGUUGCUGCAUUGAUAAUGAGAAGGCUUGAAACAUACUAGCAAUAGACGGAUCCAUGUGCAUACUUUGUCCUUUAGAAGAAUCCCGACCAGAAACUCCUCCCAAAAAUCCUUCAAAAUUUUUAUUUUUGUUUUCCAUAAAAUAAAGAUAAAAUCAAUCGAAAUCAAAUACCUCCUACCUCAAGCUUUCACGUCGGGUUCACCACUUAUGUCGUAUUACGUGCUUUCCUGCUCGAGAACGUGCCGGGAGUCUGGCUGUAGAAGGUAGUAUAGAAAUUUACCAAUAGUCAAGCAGUCUAUCAGUUUUUGACUGCUGAAAUACAAAUAACUGCAAGAAUACAUCGUAAAUCUAUACGGAUGCCCUUCGACUACUUGUCAAAGUCCUUUUUGCCCCAACCGAUAGGUCUCUAGAUGUUACAGAGAACCCCGAACAAUCCAAACUGCUAAUCUUCGAUACCGCUUUAUAGUCACGAUCUUGUAUCCACUGACUGUCUUAUUAGAUUAACCCAACAAAUUUCAUUCACUCCGCAUACUCAAUCCUAUAGACACCCUUUUAAUUCUUCAAUCACAGACUUAACUUCGAUUUCACAAAACAGUCAAGAGUAAUCACACCCACUUCAUUAAAAUCCUGAUUCACCAGUACAACACUGACUUCAGCAACGAUUGCCUCAGUCUUCCCAAAAACCUAUGAAGAAAAAAAAACCUCAAUUCUUCGUCUUUUUUCCCCUUCCUGAAGUAUGAACCUAGCUCUCUGAUCCUUCUCCCAAACUUAU
rnacentral:lncRNA from 1 species